GUGCCAGCAGCCGCGGUAAUACGUAGGGGGCGAGCGUUGUCCGGAGUUACUGGGCGUAAAGGGCACGCAGGCGGUGCGGCGCGUUUCGCGUGACAGCGGAGGGCUUAACUCUCCGAGGAUGCGAAAGACGGCGGCACUUGAGGGCCAGAGAGGGACACGGAAUUCCGGGUGGAGUGGUGAAAUGCGUAGAGAUCCGGAGGAACACCGAAGGCGAAGGCAGUGUCCUGGCUGGUGACUGACGCUGAGGUGCGAAAGCUAGGGGAGCGAACGGGAUUAGAUACCCCGGUAGUCC
rnacentral:rRNA from 1 species